CAGCUACUACUCAGUGAGAGGAAGGGUGUUGCAAUAUGGCACUUUGGAAGAAGAUACUCAGGGCACAAAGGACCAGAUUUUUAAAGAUAUUAGCAUACUAUUUGGGCUUUUUCCUCCAACACUCUCAGUGUAGGAAGGACUUGAGGACUGGAUAAUCAAUAUGCACUGGCCUCUCAUCUCCUACUCCCAUGAGAGCCUCUCUGUGAGUAAAAAUAUAAUCCAACCUGCAUUUGGAGCAGAGCAGAGUCACCUGAUCCCAGGAGGAGCACCAGUGUAUGCGUAAAGCUUCCUGACCUCCUGGGAGAAGUAGUGAAACCACAGCUACACCCCUUUAUGAAAUGAAGCUUUGUACAUAUACAGAGAUCUAUGCAGACCAGUGAAUGAGGAUGCAGAGACAUGGCCUGCCUGUCCUCCAAUUCUCACCCCCUUUGGGGCAGUAGGCAUCCCCUAGGGAAUUAGGAUGGAGCAGUUCUUGCAUUUUUGUCUGGCCCUCACACCGGUCAUGCUUAGAUCUAUGUGCACUGUAUGAAAGCAUGGCAGAAUUAGUCCUUUAAUGUGGAACAUAUAAAUUCUGUUAUUAUCAAAAGGUAGGGGAAAAUGUUGGGAAGAAUUCAAUGACUUGGUUGUCUUAAUGUUGCCACUUCAGAUGCCUAAAAGAUGCUUUCCCUGAAUUGUCCCUUCCAAUUCUCAUUAGGGAGAGAGACCAAGAGGAAACACUCUAGGGUUGAGGGGGGAGGAUUGUUUGUUUUGUUUUUACUUACAGUGUUGUGAAUAAUGAAAAUCAAUCCUUCAAAAUCAGCAUAGUUAUUGCAGGAGUAAAGUACACUGCCAAUAACCCUGUUAAACUAAAGUUUUGAAUGAGAUGGUUUAAAAAACAGCAACAAUUAGAAAAGUGUGGAGCAUGAUCUUGUACUUCAUCAUUAC